AACCUGGAGCUUGCAAAUAAUGAUCAGUUUGGAUAAUCACCGCUGGCAGCUCAGCAGAGUUCGAGUCUCCACUUGCUGCUCUCCCAAUUAGCUGCAGUGCUGAUCAUUUUCCCCUUUGCAUACUAAAGAGAGGAUCAAGAAAGAAGCACUUUGCAUAUGAAAGAUGGGAAACACCUACUGAGUGAAUGGAGCUGUCUGAUGCCUGACUCAAACUACAACUUCUCCUGUUGCCAGAGGAAUCUCAAGGGGGAAUAAAAACAAGGAGAAAAAUGGCAGAAGUCUGUACCUUGCCUACAACCAGAGCCCUUUUUCAUCAGGAACCUUUGCUCAAUUAGAAAUUAAGUGCCACAAAAUUUCAUUCAUUAAAAAAAAGAAACUA